AUGCUCAAAUGCUGAUGACUACGGAUGUGUUCAGAUGUAAAGAUGUUUUCAUGUGUGUGCAAUGAGUAUUUGCACUUACUCAUUUGCAGCACACACCUCUGGAUGUGCAAAGCAAGAAUGAGUGAAUUGGAUUGACGUGGAGGUGAUGGAGGAAGAGAAAUGGUCUACACGUCAAAAUGACAAUGUACAUUACAUGGUUAACAGAAUGAGUGAGGUCAUGCCUGGUGUUGUGACUGUAGUGUUGAUCAUAGACCUGAAGGCAGAGUGUGCUGUGGAAGUGAAGUUUAGCAGAUCUGGGAAAUCAAGCUCUGGUUGUAAAGUUUAGUGGUGUUUUUUUC